GACGAACGCUGGCGGCGUGCUUAACACAUGCAAGUCGAACGGAAAGGCCCUGCUUUUGUGGGGUGCUCGAGUGGCGAACGGGUGAGUAACACGUGAGUAACCUGCCCUUGACUUUGGGAUAACUUCAGGAAACUGGGGCUAAUACCGGAUAGGAGCUCCUGCUGCAUGGUGGGGGUUGGAAAGUUUCGGCGGUUGGGGAUGGACUCGCGGCUUAUCAGCUUGUUGGUGGGGUAGUGGCUUACCAAGGCUUUGACGGGUAGCCGGCCUGAGAGGGUGACCGGCCACAUUGGGACUGGGAUACGGCCCAGACUCCUACGGGAGGCAGCGGUGGGGAAUAUUGCACAAUGGGCGGAAGCCUGAUGCAGCGACGCCGCGUGCGGGAUGACGGCCUUCGGGUUGUAAACCGCUUUCGCCUGUGACGAGGCGUGAGUGACGGUAAUGGGUAAAGAAACACCGGCUAACUACGU
rnacentral:rRNA from 1 species